AGUUUUUGUAUCUGUGGUUGUUUAAGAUGCCGGUUGAUGUCGGGCCUGACCUCCUAUGUUACGAUACCUCCAACCUCAUCAAAAAGUAAUGCUAUAGCCGUUAGCACAUGUUUUGAGUACUCAGAAAGUAAAGCCACCGUCUGGGCUGUGGUAAAGCUGUAGUGUGUUGCUCGGUUUUUCUUACCGUAUUUUGAAUUUCACCCUUAUCUAGGACUGGAUAUGAGUGCGACCCUCACAAAAACAGAAGCUCUCGGCGAUCCCUACGACCGUUUCUUCAUUUUACAGUGCUCAGUUUUACUUUUGGGUGAGCAGGAGCACAGAACACGUGCAUAGGAUGCCAACCCUGUGAGAAGGAGAGGAAGCGAUCGACGCUUAGACAGUCUUUUGUCUGAUAGACUGACAGUCGUUUCGUUGCUAAGCGACGGCAGGAAGCCAGCCAAUGACUGAAUGCGCACGAGCUGGUAGCAUGAACAACGUUGACGCGGUACAAAAGUAAUGCGCGCGUGUCUGAAACGCAAAAUGUCCCCCGUGUAACUGGUGCUGUCGUUUCUCAUUGUUUAAUACGAAGUUUAGUUCGUAACUCUUGGUGUUUUUAGUAUUUAUUCACUUAUGUUUCGUUUUAAAUCAUGUCCAGUGCAACGAGUGGUAGAAACGAAAAAUGUGAAGUGAAACGGAGAAACAAUGCCUGCUGCGUAGCCAGGGAGUAUUUUGAAAAAGAGAAUGCAGAAUGUUAAGGGUUGCACCGUAAUUCCUGAAGGUCAGGACGCAGAGGACUGCAGCAGCUUCGAAACUACCGGAUUUACUCGAAAACCCGAAGGAGCUGCAGUUCUUUGGAGUUACUGUGGCUGCUGACACCAGGUAUUAAAAUCUGACAUGAAGUGAAUCGGCAAAGGUAACCAGCAUUGUUUCUUCUAUAAUGAACAAAUAAAUACACAUGUGGGAUUAUUUUCAUGGCCUUACAAACUAUCUGGAUUUAUGAUUUGUUUGCACAGUCAGUGAGAAAGCAUGUAAAUAUUUUGUCACAGUUUGCCUUCUCAUUGUAAAGUGCCUACCAUAUGAGUGUGGUAAAAUGGUGCUGCUGCCCUAGGUAACUGACUUUCCUUAAAAUUAUUUCUGAACUGAUACCAACUACUCAACAUGAAAUUUUAUAACUUCGCAUUUGCUAUAUGUCUUGUGCAGAUCUUGUGACUUAUACUGUGAGUUGUUAUGUUAAACGGUUUAAUUUUGAAAGAGUUUUGAUUAAUGAGUAUAAAUUUGAUUUCAUCUUAGAGAAAAAGUGAAAUAUAUACCCAUUAAGACCGUGAUGGAAGCUGCUAAUCCCUCACUAUGAUUGUAUGAGGGUGACAAAAAAAAGUAAUGAAAUGCCAUUGUACCAGUGGUUUGCUCAUGGGCUGUGGUCGGUGUAUUCUUUCAUUAAGAGAAAGAAAUUUCCCAAAAUGUUGUGAACUUCUUGUUGAAAUUUUGGAUGCUCAAACAUCGUUAGAUAGUAACUGCAUUCUGAGUAAAGUAAAAUUAAGACACAAAAGUGUGGUGUGUGUGUGUGUGUGUGUGUGUGUGUGUGUGUGUGUGUGUGUGUGUGUGCGUGUGUGUGUGUGUGCGCGUGUGUGUGCGUGCACUCCCUCCCCCUCCCCCAGACAGACACACACAAUUUUGUCAAUAAUCAUGAUGUGGCCCCUGUCUUUAAUUCAUCCACUGCGACUGAAUAUAUUAAAAGUAUUUUAAAAUUUUAAAAAUGUGUGAGCUUAAGGAUAUCAGAAAUGGAUCAUUUAAAAGCUGAUUUUUGUUCAUUGUGCAGCCUGCUACAGCUUUAUGAUUUAUGUAUUUAAUUGAAUGUCAUAUUUUUAUGAAUAAACUGUAUUGUUGUGAAGCCAAAGGUGAAUACUCCAGCUAUUAACAAUUUAUAAUACAGCUACAGACACAGUCAAAACAAAGUAACAGUAAUUAAUACUUACAUACUUCACAGUAAGAAAUCCACACCACCACCUUUGUUGGUGACAUAGAUGACUUGCAUUCAGCAAGAUGAUCAAUAAUCAUGUUGCUGCCAAUUUCUCUUCAUAAUCUUCAUCCUGCAGUUUUUCUGCAUGUCAAAAAUAUGAUACCCAUGCAGAUGUUCAGAUGCUGUCUAUUGCUUUGUGUGUAAAUCUGACAACAUCUGCAAAUUUAAAUGCAUUGUUUUUUCUGCAAUGUAUGCUUUCACUUGAGCUCAAAACAUUUUAGCUGGGUUCUAAUGAUAAUGGCGUAGGGGUAAUCUAACAGUAUGGUUUCCGUGCUGCUUUAUUUUGUCUAUCUCAUAAACUCUUUAUGUAGGCUGGUUGGCAUCGAUAAGAACCAACAAUUUUGCACCGGUAUGUGAUAAAGCAUGAGGUAUUCCAUUACAGGACAACCGUUCAAAAAUAUCUGCUCUUAUGGAGUUUGUAACUGACAUUUGUCCACUGGCACUGAGUGUAUUCCACAUUAUUCAUGACAAUAACCGAAUGUGGAGUGAUGUGCAAUAAGAGUUGUUCUUUAAACCACUGUUUGAAGACACGGAAUGUAAUUUCAGAGUCAUAAUUUGCAGAAUUCUUAGCCUUUCAAUCCUUAAAAACCAACUUACUGUAGGGAACAAAGCCACUUUCUGAUGAUCCAACAUGAUAAUUCUAUAAUUCUACUACUCCUGUGUACUGGAACUUCUAACCCACCAUUCCCAUUGCUUAUAUUCCAACACUCAGCCCUUGCAAGGCUUUGGUUGAGAAGUUUUAUCUACAUAAUAAAUUUGAGAUGUGCCAACUUAUCUCCAGCAGUGUUCUCAGAAACACAGUCCUUAGCGCUACAACAUCACUGUUACAUUAGUAAUUUCCUUCCUUCCAUCGUUCAUUUUCUGAUAUCUGAAUCCUAUGUCUUUCAGUAUCCUCAACGUAGUUGACUCAUUUCCCUUAAAAUUGUUGGCUUCUUUUGUUCAUGAAACUAAUUCAUCUGAUGUCAGAUAUUGUCCUUUAGCAUACAUUAUUAAUACUGUGUCUCACAAAAUUGUCUAGGUCACACAGUUCUCUUUUGCGGUUUUGUUGCUGGUCUGGUGACAAAAACAGAUGAGCUGCAUUUUGUUAUCUGGCAUUGAUAGGCAGUGCAUGGGUCUGCUCCUGUGAACUUAUUCUCUAAUAUAGGCCGAGAGUAAAGGAAGCGAAUAGAAGCAGGAGAGGUGAAGCACUUAGGUGCUGCAUGUAACUUUAAAACUUUCAAUAGAGUCAAAAACACAAGUAAAAAUUAUAAAUGCAUACAUAACUUUGACUAGGAUGAGCACAUAGAUGUGAAGCUGUAGUCAAUGUCUAAUCCUGUGCAGUUAGGAUGACUGUUCUGCAUAAUCUUAAAGCUAACAAAUACUCGUUGCUGUCUGAACUUUAACUGAAUGUAACUGAUGCAGUUUUAAUAGCAAGCUAGUCCACUCGGUAGUAGAAGAAAUAUUUCCAGGCCAUCUGCUCUUGAUGAAAAUGGGGCCAGAACUCAUGACAGCACUCGCUUUGCUCCACAGUGUUGGCCAGAGGGCGCUGUGGUUGGCGUAGUUAGUUUUCUCUCGUAGUGCCAACUUAAUGAAAGUGUGCACCUACAUUGUGGCAUGUAACUAUCUACAUCACACUGCAGGCUUGCAUAGACAUGUUAGUCUGUUGAUAUCCUCUCAAAAGUCCUCAAAACAAUACCACAAGCUUAAUCUAUCUGCUUCUGACAUGAGACAACAGUGCGGCAGAAGCCUCUUGCCAGCUCGGAUUCAGCGGAAAACUUUCAAAGUACUGAUACGUGUGGAACACUUCUUGUUGAUUGCGUGUGCAGCACCUGAUAUGAUUGCUUACUGUCAGUCAUUAUGAGCACUACAAUGGCAAAAUAAUCACUCAGCAUAAGGACUGAAAUAAACAGCAAGCUUCCUGUACACAGAAUAAAGUCAAGCAUGUCACUGAUGUGUGAGAGGCUGUGUUCCACAUGUUACAUUAACACAUGCUUCUGCACAUCUGGCUUUGAUCCACCUUUGUUGUUCCUCUGAACUCGAGUACUUGCUGAUACAACAACUCUACCUAGUGGCCAAGGUCAAGUUCCAUACUAUCUAUUGUGCUUUCAAAUGUCCAGGCCAAGAUACGAGAAGUACGUUUCACUUCUGACUGUACUAGUCCCGCAGUACAGAACAUAGUAAGAGGUGGGAGGAUAACACAUCGUCGUCUUCGACAAAAGUCAAGUUCUGUGUUGCCCAAGCAGAUAUUGCAAGGGUUUGCACCACAUGAUUGUAGAGACAGCCAACUACAAGCUCUUGGCAAAAUCAGAUUGUGACUUGGGUAAACACUGUUUCAGGGUCUGAGAAUUUCCUCUGAAAUGGACAUUUUCGGACAGCCCACGUGUUUUGUGUAUACAUUGCCACCCCCCAACCCCUGUGUCAGUGUGGCAUUUGGUACCAACCUUCUAUCGUAGAGUUCUACACUAAACAUGCCUAAUAUCCCCACUUCUUCAGCAUUCGCAAGGUAGAUGUUGUGAUUAUGUAUGAUUGCUUGUUGAUUGUCUGUGCCAUUUCCGUUCAAGAGAAGGUUCAUUGUUCUAGUUUUCCACUGUGGGGGGGGGUUUUGCUGGUUUCCGUGCAGGGUGUCACGUGUGUGUCUCCAUGUCAACUUCGGAUCCCUGACAUGUGAUGCUGUCAGCAGUGUUGUUUUUCUGCUCUGUGUAUCCAUGGCCAGGACAUUGAAUUCAUUACUACUCAUUUACUACUUUGGUCCUUUUGACAGUAUUUGUUGUGCUAGCUGUCAUACUAUAAUUUUGAUUUCUCAUCUCGCGCUCUGAUACUGGCUAAUCGGCACUCUAGUCAUGAGCUCCUUCUUGACCACUCCUGCUUCCUGUAGUUUGGCUGUUGCUUCAGGAACUUAAGAUGUUCUAGUUCAUUUGUUAUCUUUAUUAUGUCCUGGAUCUGAAUACUGCUGGUCUCCGUUGUGUUUUUCGUGGCUUGACCACCUUACACAGGUGAUAAACAGAAAACAAUAAUAGCACUAGAAUGACUCACAUGUUAACAUAACAUACUUCUUGGAUGAACUAUAUGUUAUUGUAUUGUAUUUUAACCGGGGGCCUAGAAACAACGGAGAGGCUCCAUCCCCGCCGCAGCCACAGUGGUCUAAAACCCUACGACGACUACCGCAGUCCACUUCACCCCUCCACCGCCCCUCACCAAACCCAGGGUGAUUGUGUGCCGUUUGGCCACCAGUGGAACCCCCCACCCCCGCCCCCCUGGGGAACGUCUCGCA